AUUGAACGCUGGCGGUAUGCCUAACACAUGCAAGUCGAACGGGGCAGCAAUGCCUAGUGGCGGACGGGUGAGGAAUACGUAGGAAUCUGCCCUUAAGUGGGGGAUAACCAGGGGAAACCCUGACUAAUACCGCAUGAUCUCUUCGGAGCAAAGAGGGGGACCGCAAGGCCUCUCGCUUCUGGAUGAGCCUACGUCUGAUUAGCUAGUUGGUAGGGUAAAGGCCUACCAAGGCGACGAUCAGUAACUGGUCUGAGAGGAUGAUCAGUCACACCGGAACUGAGACACGGUCCGGACUCCUACGGGAGGCAGCAGUGGGGAAUAUUGGACAAUGGGCGCAAGCCUGAUCCAGCAAUGCCGCGUGUGUGAAGAAGGCCUUCGGGUUGUAAAGCACUUUAGCCUGGAAAGAAAAAACUUUGGUUAACACCCAAAGUCUUGACGGUACCAGGAGAAUAAGCACCGGCUAACUCUGUGCCAGCCGCCGCAGUAAUAC
rnacentral:rRNA from 1 species